rnacentral:rRNA from 1 species
CGAACGUUAGCGGCGCGCUUAACACAUGCAAGUCGAACGAGAAAGCACCUUCGGGUGUGAGUAAAGUGGCGCACGGGUGAGUAACACGUGGGUAUCUGCCCUUUGGUGGGGGACAACAUUUGGAAACGAAUGCUAAUACCGCAUAAGUCGGCUUCGGCCGGGAAAGGUGGCUUCGGCUAUCGCCAGAGGAUGAGCUCGCGACCCAUCAGCUUGUUGGUAAGGUAACGGCUUACCAAGGCAACGACGGGUAGCUGGUCUGAGAGGAUGAUCAGCCACACUGGGACUGAGACACGGCCCAGACUCCUACGGGAGGCAGCAGUGGGGAAUAUUGCGCAAUGGGCGAAAGCCUGACGCAGCGACGCCGCGUGAGUGAUGAAGGAUUUCGGUUCGUAAAGCUCUGUGGGAGAGGGAAGAACAAGAAGUGAGAAUAAUACCUCAUUUCCCUGACGGUACUUCUCCAGAAAGCACCGGCUAACUCC